GGCAGGGCGGGAGGGUGUCCCCUCUGCCCUCCGUGCAGUGCCUACUUGGGCCUGAGGGCUGGCGGCGGGCCAGGUGAUUGAGGGCGACCCUCGGGGCUCUAUCCUGAAGAGGCUUGUGGUGGAACCGUUAGAGGAGACGCGACCAAAGCACUCCAUCCUGGGUCAGCAGAGAACUAAACAGCUAGUGAUGUUAGUGUAACAGGGGACAUGUCAUCUGAUAAGAAAAACUGGCACAGAAAGCCUAAGUUUUGUCCCUGAUAUAAGUGGUGCCCACCGAUACCCUCUGGAUCAAGCCCUGGCCUUAUAUUGUUGGCUGAUUUGGAGCAAAAUAUUUAGCUGUCUGUUUCUUUUCCCUGGAAAAUGGGGAUAAUUAAUAAUCAUAUCUACCUCGUUGAUUUUAGGAAGGAAAUGAAACAAUAUAAGGAAAAAAACCCUUGGUACAGAAUUUCCGGACAGCCUCUAGGUGGGUCUCUUGAGGGCAGCCACGAAGUCCUUUGUCUGGAUGCUUGAUGAUACACAUUCUCUGUCAGUUUAAAUUGGAGGUGUCUCCAUAAUAACAGGAUAGUUUUAAGUUUGGAAAUGAGACCGAGAAGUAAUUAGAAGGACGGAGGAGGCACUACAGUCUUUUGAAAGGUACCUUAAACAGCCUGGCAAUUAGCCUCUAUAAUUAGGCCACUGCAUCAGGUGUUUAUGGCAGCAGAGCAGUGCCAGUUGAGUUUGAAUGGAAUCCCCUACAAGAUCCAGCUCUGUCUAUCACAGGCCACUGAAAUCUGAAAAUAUUUCUACAAGCAUUUCUACCUACUAGCUUUUGCAAUCCGCUGACAAGAUUCCACAUCCAAAUAUAAUUAGGUGUGUGUGUAUGUAUGGGUGUGGGUAUGAGAGAGAGAGAGAGAGCAUGCACAAAUACUUUUUUUUUUUUUGGUCGAAGUACAAAGAUAAAGAUAAAGCAAUCUGAAAACUGGAGCAGAAAAACUGUUUAAUCUGCAUAGAGUCGAUUUGAUUUUCACAUUUGUGAUUUGAGCAUCUUCCCAACAUGAUAGAGAUCUCUCUCUCUGGCUGAUAUAGGGAAUUUCAGUAUUUCCCUCAAGGGCAGUUGCGGAAUGGGGCAGAACAAAUAAUAACCUUAGAAAAACAACCUGUGAUUCCCCCUUCAGAAGAUGACACUUUAUAAAGGGGGGAAAAGUCCUUGCUUUGGAGCAAGGAUUUUGUAUUAUAAAGGGGGAAAAAUCCUUGCCUUGGAGCAAGACUUUUCCCUUGUAGGACAGUUCUUAAUUCCAUGAGAACAAAAUGGAGCUAGAUCUGUUCUGCAGGAGGAAGGCCAGGAAGAGAGAAGGAAACAACGGAAGGCUAAGGAUGCAUAUAUGCAGGGGAUCUAUGAUGGGCUUCAUUUUAUUCUCUGAAUUAACUAAGGAAGGUAGCCUGGUAGAGAGUGGGUGACUCAAUGAAGACCCGAGAGUGCUGAUGCAUAUGUUCCCUACCUGGGGGCACCAGCUGCACGAAGAGAAGGACACUGCCACCCAGGAAGAGAGCAGUGGCCAUGGAAUAGCGCCGGGGCACAUGUUGCAGCAGCAGCCAGGCUAACACGUAUGCUGGGACUUCAACCACCGCCGAAAGAAAGCAGUUCAAAUAGAUGUCUCCAUGCAAGUUAGGAGUAUCAAGGGAAAGUCCAAAGUAGCCCACUGCAAUGGUCAGCCUGCAAUGGAGUGCAGAAGAAAGCUGGAGAAGCAGUAUCCACUCUCCCACCUGCACAACUUGAAAAAUGCAAUUACUUCAGGACGUUCCAAACUACCCUAAGCAGAGACUAGGAAGGCAGCAGUUUUAACCCCAAACCUUACUUCGCAGAAGAAAAGAUAACUCCCCCCAGCCCAAGUGGUACAAUGGACACAUCCCUUUCAUUUUCUGAUGACACAGUCUCAAUUUGGAUCUGAGGCACAUCUGCAAAUAAGAGGCUCAAGAGCCACCUCCAGAAGCUGAUUGCCUUCCUUUACCGAAGCCUCAGAUGCCAAAUGGCAGGUCAAAAUGGUGACAAGUCCUGACUCCGCUCCUCAUCAUUUCCACUACCAUCUAGAGAAAAGCUGGAUCACUCAGCAUCUUAGAGCAUCUCCCAAG